rnacentral:rRNA from 1 species
CCUACGGGUGGCAGCAGUAGGGAAUAUUGCUCAAUGGGGGAAACCCUGAAGCAGCAAAGCAGCGUGGAGGAUGAAGGUUUUCGGAGUGUAAAAUCCUUUUGUUAGAGAAGAUAAUGACGGUAUCUAACGAAUAAGCACCGGCUAACUCCGUGCCAGCAGCCGCGGUAAUACGGCGGGUGCAAGCGUUAUACGGAUUAACUGGGCGUAAAGGGCGCGUAGGCGGGAUAGCAAGUCAGAUGUGAAAUCCUAUGGCUUAACCAUAGAACUGCAUUUGAAACUGUUAUUCUAGAGUAGAGGAGAGGUAGGUGGAAUUCUUGGUGUAGGGGUAAAAUCCUUAGAGAUCAAGAAGAAUACUCAUUGCGAAGGCGGCCUGCUAGAACAUAACUGACGCUGAUGCGCGAAAGCGUGGGGAGCAAACAGGAUUAGAUACCCGAGUAGUC